GACGAACGCUGGCGGCGUGCCUAAUACAUGCAAGUCGAGCGAAUUUCAUUGAGAGCUUGCUUUCAAUGGAGUUAGCGGCGGACGGGUGAGUAACACGUAGGUAACCUGCCUGCAAGACCGGGAUAACAUUCGGAAACGAAUGCUAAUACCGGAUACGCAAUUCUCUCGCAUGAGGGGAUUGGGAAAGGCGGAGCAAUCUGCCGCUUGUAGAUGGACCUGCGGCGCAUUAGCUAGUUGGUGGGGUAACGGCUCACCAAGGCGACGAUGCGUAGCCGCCCUGAGAGGGUGAUCGGCCACACUGGGACUGAGACACGGCCCAGACUCCUACGGGAGGCAGCAGUAGGGAAUCUUCCGCAAUGGACGAAAGUCUGACGGAGCAACGCCGCGUGAGUGAUGAAGGUUUUCGGAUCGUAAAGCUCUGUUGCCAGGGAAGAACAGCCUGGAGAGUAACUGCUCCAGGUGUGACGGUACCUGAGAAGAAAGCCCCGGCUAACUACGUGCCAGCCGCCGCCGUAAGAC
rnacentral:rRNA from 1 species